GCCCUAGUAGCUUAGCCGCAAAGCGCCGGUCUUGUAAUCCGGAGAUCGAGGGUUAAAGCCCCUCCUAGUGCC
rnacentral:tRNA from 1 species